rnacentral:rRNA from 1 species
CCAGCUCCAAUAGCGUAUAUUUAAGUUGCUGCAGUUAAAAAGCUCGUAGUCGGUUUUCGGGCGGGCUUCGCCGGUCCGCCUUUUCGGUGAGCACUGGCGCGGCCUGCUUUCCUGCCGGGGACGGGCUCCUGGGCUUCGCUGUCCGGGACCCGGAGUCGGCGAUGUUACCUUGAGUAAAUUGGAGUGUUCAAAGCAGGCAUACGCUCUGAACAUGUUAGCAUGGAAUAACGUCAUAGGACUCGGGCCUAUUUCGUUGGUCUGUGGGACCUGAGUAACGACCAAUGGGGGCGGUCGGGGGCAUUCGUAUUUCGUUGUCAGAGGUGAAAUUCUUGGAUUUACGAAAGACGAACUACUGCGAAAGCAUUUGCCAAGGACGCUUUCG